CUACGGGUCGCUGCAGUGGGGAAUAUUGCACAAUGGAGGAAACUCUGAUGCAGCAACGCCGCGUGGAGGAUGACACUUUUCGGAGCGUAAACCCCUUUUAUAUAGGAAGAAGAUGACGGUACUAUAUGAAUAAGCGCCGGCUAACUCCGUGCCAGCAGCCGCGAUAACACGGAGGGCGCAAGCGUUACUCGGAAUCACUGGGCGUAAAGAGCGUGUAGGCGGAUUAAAAAGUCAGAAGUGAAAUCCUAUAGCUUAACUAUAGAACUGCUUCUGAAACUCUUAAUCUAGAAUAUGGGAGAGGUAGAUGCAAUUGCUGGUGUAGGGGUAAAAUCCGUAGAGAUCAGAAGGAAUACCGAUUGCGAAGGCGAUCUACUAGAACAUUAUUGACGUUGAGACGCGAAAGCGUGGGGAGCAAACAGGAUUAGAUACCCCCGUAGUC
rnacentral:rRNA from 1 species